GUAGGUGGCAAGCGUUGUCCGGAAUUAUUGGGCGUAAAGCGCGCGCAGGCGGUUCUUUAAGUCUGAUGUGAAAGCCCACGGCUCAACCGUGGAGGGUCAUUGGAAACUGGAGAACUUGAGUACAGAAGAGGAAAGCGGAAUUCCACGUGUAGCGGGGAAAUGCGUAGAGAUGUGGAGGAACACCAGUGGCGAAGGCGGCUUUCUGGUCUGUAACUGACGCUGAGGCGCGAAAGCGUGGGGAGCAAACAGGGAUUAGAUACCCUGGUAGUCCACGCCGUAAACGAUGAGUGCUAAGUGUUAGGGGGUUUCCCGCCCCUUAGUGCUGCAGCUAACGCAUUAAGCACUCCGCCUGGGGAGUACGGCCGCAAGGCUG
rnacentral:rRNA from 1 species